CAGGGCAGGGCCGCUCGCUGUUGAAGGGGAUCCCGGGUUCCCCCGCGGCAGUUUAAGACGGUUAAACCAGACUUGAUGCUUUUCUCAACUAAGCAGGCGCCCCGAGGUACCGACUCGACUGUGCUUCAUCUGUGAGGGGCAGCCAUGACAGAGAGCAUGGACUCCUGCUCCAAGUCUCAGCUCAUGAAAUUCUGCAGAAUCAGCUGUGUUGUUUUCAUAAUGCUCAUCACAAGACUAAUGAGCAGUGCAGGAUCUGAGUUUCUCUUAGGCAGCCACAAAGGUAUAUUUUACAACACUGAGCCCAUGAUCAGAAACUGCAACUGCAAGCAAUGCCCUAAAUAGCCUGAUACUGGUACGGGUUUGCCAGGUCUUGGAGAGACUGAUAAAAUUGUGUACCAGGCCUGUGUUUUUUCAGCAGUGAGAUUGAAAAUGAAAGUCAACAGCAGAACUAGAAAUGCAUUUUCUAUCUUUGCUCUUCUCUUUUGUGUGUGUUUCUCUUUUACCUUAUAGGGAAUUGGAUUGACUAAAUAGCAAAGCCAACAACAACAGCUCCAGCCUCUCUCUCUACUAACAUCUUCUCUUUCCCCCAAAAAAGAACAUUUACUAUAAAAAGUCUGUUAAACAAAAGGGGAUUUUCCUUGUAAAGGUAUCGAUGCAGCUCAGCAGAAAGGGAAUAAGGAUGUUAAAAUGAAAGCUGUAUUUAAUCCUUUAUAUUUCAAAUGCUGCUUCAUCAAAUGGUCUGACCCAGUACAGCCGUUCUUAUGUUAAAUGUUUGUGUCUUUUUAUUCAAGUUUAAAAAGGGUUUUAGAUGGUGUGCUUGCCAUUAUGCUAAGCAAGCUAUGAUCUCUGUAUAUCAAACCCCAAAACUUGUUUAACACAGUUUAAUGUUGGAUAGUGACAGGGUCAUGUUAACAUGAUUAGCCUUUGGCUCUAUAUAUUCUGUCUAAAUAAAUACAGACACUAAGAAAGAAAUCCAGAGAGAUGGGGAAGAAAUUACAUGCUUGUCAUACUUGCCUCAGAUGCAGCACUGGACACAAUUUAACAGGUGCAUAGGUUUUAUUAAAAGAGAAUUUCUUUAAUAAACUCACUAAGACAGAUACUGUCAACAUUUGGUGCUAUGCUUCCAUUGUGAAAAUGGCUGAGGCUGAUAUCCUGGCCCUACUAGAAACAGUACAAUUCACACUAAUUUUGAUGGGACCAGGAUUUCACUUCAGUCUCACAGGUGAUCGUCCAAGACAGCUUUCUUGAUACUGCUGAGAUUAUGGGCAGCCAGUGAUGGUAGGGCUGGGAGAGGCAAGGUCCCAACCCCACCCCCUGCUCUGCCUCUUCUGCUGAGGCUCUGCCUUGCAUGGGAGCCAAGCUGCCUCUGCCCCUCCUUACCAUAGGGAGGGGAGGAAGGCGGGUGGACAUGUAUGGCUCCAGACUCUCGGGCCUGCAGCACAGGCUGCACGUGGCUCCAGCCUCCCCACCCCUGGAGCACAGGGAAGGCGGGCACAAGGGGCCGCAACACUCUGCCACCAGAACACCUACAGUAGGCAUUCUGAGGGCGGUGUGUGCGGGGCCAGGAUGGUGGUAUGGGAAGGCUAUGCCAUGGCCGGAUACCUUGACCACCCUUAUCUGUAACAGCCGUUGUACCUCCUCCUGUACGGGUUCCCACAUUUUCCUAGGGAGGUGUCACAAUUGGUCUCGUACUUAUCAGGUUGUGUUGAUAAGACGUACGUAUAUUCUCGUAGGAGGACUCCCAACUCGUUCUUUUGGUGGUCUGUCAAAUUGGCCCCUUUACGCUGAGCUAUCCUUUACCAGAUUGCCUCCCCAGGGCCCCAACUCUGGAUCCGGUGGCUGUAACAUAAUCAACACGCUUUCCUGUGGUUUCCACUUCUAUAAUAAAUUAAUGUGGUAGAUCUGGGUGUUUUUAUGUUUACCUGUCAGCCUCACCUCGUAGUCUACUGGUCCUACUUGUCUUAGGACCUCAAAGAGUCCUUGCCAUUUGGCCAAUAGCUUUGACUCUGGUGAUGGUAGGAGAAGCACCCAGUCUCUUGGAUAAAAUGUUCGGGGCUUGGUUGCCUGGUUAUAAUACUGGGCCCGUUUUUCUUGGGCCUGUAGUAGAUUUUCCCUAGCUAUCUCCCCUCUUGUUUGCAAUUUCUUUCUUAGGUCUAUGAUGUAGGGGAUUGUACCCUUCACCCAGGAGUCUUGUUCUUCCCAGGUCUCAAAUAAGUCUAGUAUUCCCCGCGGCUGUCUCCUAUAUAGUAACUCAAAGGGGGAGAACCCUGUUGACGCCUGGAGAACCUCCCUGACUGCAAAUAACGCAGGCAGUAACAUAUCCCAUUCCUUCAUGUUUAGCUCAAUGAACCGUCAAAGCAUUCCUUUUAAGGUUUUAUUAAAACGUUCAACUAACCCAUCAAUCUGUGGGAGAUAUACUGAAGUCCGUAAGGACUUCAUGUUCAAGAGGUGGCAUAACUCCGUCAUUAAUUUAGAUGACACAUUGGUCCCCUGGUCGGUCAACAGCUCCUGUGGGAUCCCCCUUCGGGCAAAGAUUUUCACCAAUUCUGUGGCAAAGGUGGCGGUCGUGGUGUUCCUAAGCGGGACCACUUCAGGGUAGUGGGUGGCAUAAUCUAUAAGUACCAAAAUGUACUGGUUUCCCUGCCGAGACUUUUGCAGGGGUCCCACCAGGUCCAUAGCUACUUGAUUGAAAGGGACGUCCACCACGGGGAGUGGAAUCAGAGGAGCCCCUGGUACUAUCCCCGGACCAGCCUUUUGGCACUCAGGGCAAGAUUCGCAAAAGUCCCUAACCUCUCUAUGAAUGCCCAGCCAAAAGAACCUGUGUUAUCCAUUGAAAUGUUUUUUCUCACCCCAGGUGUCCAGCCUACGUAUUGGCGUGGGCGUCAGCCGACGGUCAGGGCAGCGUGCAUGUGCGUGUGCGUGUUUCCGAGAAAAGGUUUAACGUCAAUGUCUUUACUUCUAAGACCGGGGUCCCGUCACAGAGGGUGGCCAGCAGGCCAACAGACGCCCCGUUAUAUAGGAAGAGCU